rnacentral:rRNA from 1 species
AUGGAGUGCGGUGGAGGGGCCGAGUCCUGUAGUGCAUCCAUGUUGUACCGGCUAGCUAGUUACUCCAGUAUCAAAUACAGAGAAAAAAGACCGGCGUUCGUCGCCGGGGCGUAUGUGGCCGCAAGUACUCAUGUGCUCGAGUUCGUCUCCUGGCGUCUCCAGUCAUCGCGUGAGUUUGGCGUUCCUCGCCGGAGGGCAGCUCGGAGUUCGUCGCCGGUCUGCUCCAACAGAGGUUCCUGUGCCAGCAGGGGCCGCGCGCGGCAAUUGAAGAAGGUGCCAGGGGUGGCGGGGAAGCAAGGCUACUUCAUCAUCCAGUCGGCGCAGAUGGCGUCCUUCACCAACGACGGGUGCAAGGUGAACGGGGACAGCUUGUUGUCAAGCGCGUGCGGCCUCGUCGACGAACCCACUGCCGGAAAGGGGCUGCCGCUCAAGUUUGAGUCCUUCAUCAAGCUCGAUACUUCCUCAACAACUUCUUUCACCCAACGACCCCAACAAAUGCUAGUGAUCAAUCUUUCCGUCCGUCAUCCUGGAGAGCGCUCGCGCCCUGCUCUCGCCCGCACGUUCGCACCCUGCGGAUGCCACCGACGCCAGAAGGGAGGAUCCGGUGGCCGGUGCGUCCCCGUGGCGGUCGGUGUCGCCAGGGCCCGGGGUGGUGCUCCGUCCUGGAGGGUGUGGGGGCAGUUCUGGUUGCUUUCCGGCGGGUCUGACAAUGAGGAGGACGGUGCCCAGGAGGGGUUGGUCUAG